rnacentral:rRNA from 1 species
UACGUAGGUGGCAAGCGUUGUCCGGAGUUAUUGGGCGUAAAGCGCGCGCAGGCGGUGCGGUAAGUCUCUGGUGAAAGCGCUCGGCUUAACUGGGCGAGGGCCGGGGAGACUGCCACGCUGGAGGGGAGCAGAGGCGAGUGGAAUUCCGGGUGUAGUGGUGAAAUGCGUAGAGAGUCCGGAGGAACACCAGUGGCGAAGGCGGCUCGCUGGGCUCUACCGUGACGC